UACGUAGGUGGCAAGCGUUGUCCGGAUUUAUCGGGCGUAAAGCGAGCGCAGGCGGUUUCUUAAGUCUGAUGUGAAAGCCCCCGGCUCAACCGGGGAGGGUCAUUGGAAACUGGGAGACUUGAGUGCAGAAGAGGAGAGUGGAAUUCCAUGUGUAGCGGUGAAAUGCGUAGAUAUAUGGAGGACACCAGUGGCGAAGCGGCUCUCUGGUCUGUAACUGACGCUGAGGCUCGAAAGCGUGGGGAGCAAACAGGAUUAGAUAC
rnacentral:rRNA from 1 species